UCCUUGAAAACUGAGGCAGACGAUGAAGAUGUAAAGAGGAGAAGGUCACUAACUCAAAGGGUGGUAAGCCAAUGCCAUUGACUGAAGAAGCCAAUACUGCUAUGAGUUGAGGCUAAAUAAUGUUUGUGAGGACGCUGCACAGAUAAGAGUGGGGCUCUGUAGAAUAUGUAAAUAAACUUUGUGAUAAGUUAUUGGUUGGUUAUUGAUAACCUUGAGAAUUAGACUUAUGAUUAGACAGUUUAGUUGAUAACAGUAGGUUGUUAGUAGAAUAAAUGGUUAAGAAUUUAAAGGGUCAUGACCUUUGGAAUCUAUUAGCCAACGGUCCAUCUUUUGGUAGGAUAAAGAAGUUGAAGAAAGGGAAAUCAGGGCCAGACUGUGAUAGUCGUAAGCCAGGACAAGCUUAGUGCUACCUCUUUUAGUUUCUUUGUUGUUCACAAGUAAUGGAUAGUUUCUAAAUAGUGAGAAGUUAGUCUAGAGUGCCAGAUUGUGACAGUCAUAAGCCGAGAUAUUGAAUUUUGUGCGAUGAAUUGAGAAACUAAAUAUAAUAGGUAAGCUAAAGAUUAGUAAUUGAAUAUAUAUAAAUCACAAAGAGAGUAAGUGGGAGAUGAAUGGAUAGAAAUAUGGAAGUAUUGUUGAAUUGAUAGUCAUAGAAUGGAUUAUGUGUUGAAUUAAGAUGGAAGUAGUAUGCCUUGGUGUUUUGUAGUUUGAUAAUCGAUUUUAGAUAGCCAGAGUAUAGUCAAUUGUGACACUAAUAGACCCAAUUCAUAUAACCACUCUUUUCCCAUGUUCGAAUCAAUCUCCAUUAGUUCAAUUGCUUUGGUAUAUUGAAGCUUGAACACAACGAGAACAAUACUGAUUCAUGUUUAAAAAACUUCUUAGAUGUUUCUA
rnacentral:lncRNA from 1 species